UACGUAGGGCGCGAGCGUUGUCCGGAAUUAUUGGGCGUAAAGAGCUCGUAGGCGGCCUGUUGCGUCUGCUGUGAAAGCCCGGGGCUUAACCCCGGGUCUGCAUUCGAUACGGGCAGGCUAGAGUGUGGUAGGGGAGAUCGGAAUUCCUGGUGUAGCGGUGAGAUGCGCAGAUAUCAGGAGGAACACCGGUGGCGAAGGCGGUUCUCUGGGCAUUACCUGACGCUGAGGAGCGAAAGUGUGGGGAGCGAACAGG
rnacentral:rRNA from 1 species